UACGUAGGGACCAAGCGUUGUUCGGAUUUACUGGGCGUAAAGGGCGCGUAGGCGGCUUAACAAGUCACUUGUGAAAUCUCCGGGCUUAACUCGGAACGGUCAGCUGAUACUGUUUUGCUAGAGUGCAGAAAGGGCAACCGGAAUUCUUGGUGUAGCGGUGAAAUGCGUAGAUAUCAAGAGGAACACCGGUGGCGAAGGCGGUUCUCUGGGCAUGAUCUGACGCUGAGGAGCGAAAGUGUGGGGGAGCGAACAGG
rnacentral:rRNA from 1 species